GGAAGGGUGGCAGAGUGGUCGAUUGCGGCGGUCUUGAAAACCGUUGAUGCGAGAGUAUCCGUGGGUUCGAAUCCCACCCCUUCCGCCA
rnacentral:tRNA from 1 species